CAGUAGCAACUCAUGGAGUGCAAGCGAUGUGGACCUCCGUCCUGCUGCUCGUGACGGUCGAAAUGCCAGGACCAGCCAGAGAAGCUCGUCAAAAAGGAGACGCUCACUGAGCACCAAGAUGACGCUCCAGAAGAUCGACCAUGUGGCCCAGCCAACUGGGAUGUAAGGCGCGGAUCCUGUGCGACCUUUGCUACCGCACCUAGGAGCUUGCACCGAUGCGCAACGACAGCCGGCAUGGGUUUGAUGGCCUGUUCCAGACCUUGGGCACCACCAUUAAGCGCUUCAACUAGGCUAUACACUUUCCGGCCCUCGUACUUCCUUCCUUCUCAGAUGCAGCAGAAGGUGGAGGCCAUGAAGGAGCUCAACGAGUUUCCCAUUUGGAGCUCGACAAAGACGAGUUGGACAAAGAGCUGCUUGCAGUUGCGCAGCUACGUGGUGGCAUGACAGUGCGGCACCUUAAAGCGCUCCUUGAUGCGAAUCGCAUAUGUUUUGGCUAGACUAGAUGCACCAGUAGCGUCAGUACUAUAUAUUGGCAAUAAAGCUUUGUUUUUACGAUAUAAUUAUAAUAGAGAGAGAGAGAGCCAAUGACUUACGCCGAGAGUAAGAUCACGCACGUUUUCCUUGCUGCAUUUGCUGUUCCUUUGCUUUCCCUAUUGGUGAUGACACGGCUUGAUCUGAACGCCAGAGCUGAAGCCCCUGCGAUCUAAUCCAGGAAGUUCCUUUGCGCCAUGUACUGUGUGGUUAGUAGCAGGACCAAUAGCAUUCUAUGAAAAAGGAACUGCUUGCGAAGACUUGGGAAAUUCUGCUUUGAAGUGCCUAAUAAUUCUACAUAUAUGUAUGCCUGAUUGCGAGGACGAUGUCCGACGAAUUCGAGUCUGAGGCUUAUCCCGCAGAGCUAGAAGAGUUAAUAGAAAUACUGUAAAGAACGUAUUAAAUAUCACUUUAAUAAAAAAUUGU
rnacentral:sRNA from 1 species